UACGGAGGGGGCAAGCGUUGUCCGGACUUACUGGGCGUAAAGGGCGCGUAGGCGGCUAGCUAAGUCAGACGUGAAAUCCCCCGGCUUAACCUGGGAACUGCGUCUGAUACUGGACGGCUUGAGUAUGGGAGAGGGAUGUAGAAUUCCAGGUGUAGCGGUGAAAUGCGUAGAUAUCUGGAGGAAUACCGGUGGCGAAGGCGGCAUCCUGGACCAUUACUGACGCUGAUGCGCGAAAGCUAGGGGAGCAAACGGG
rnacentral:rRNA from 1 species